CCUACGGGGUGCAGCAGUGGGGAAUAUUGCACAAUGGGGGAAACCCUGAUGCAGCGACGCCGCGUGAGUGAAGAAGUAUUUCGGUAUGUAAAGCUCUAUCAGCAGGGAAGAAGAAAGACGGUACCUGACUAAGAAGCCCCGGCUAACCACGUGCUAGCAGCCGCGGGAAUACGUAGGGGGCAAGCGUUAUCCGGAUGUACUGGGUGUACAGGGAGCGUAGACGGCAGCACAAGUCUGGAGUGAAAUGCCGGGGCUUAACCCCGGAACUGCUUUGGAAACUGUGCAGCUAGAGUGCAGGAGAGGUGAGUGGAAGUCCUAGGGUAGCGGGGAAAUGCGUAGAUAUUAGGAGGAACACCAGUGGCGAAGGCGGCUUACUGGACUGUAACUGACGUUGAGGCUCGAAAGCGUGGGGAGCAAACAGGAUUAGAUACCCUAGUAGUC
rnacentral:rRNA from 1 species